rnacentral:piRNA from 1 species
CAAAAUUCCCAAAUCUCACGA